AGUGGAUAGCUCAGUGGUAGAGUGCAUGCCUAGCAUACAUGAGGUCCUGGGUUCAAUCCCCAGUACCUCUG
rnacentral:tRNA from 1 species